rnacentral:rRNA from 1 species
GGACCUACGGGACGCAGCAGUGGGGAAUAUUGCACAAUGGGGGAAACCCUGAUGCAGCGAUGCCGCGUGGAGGAAGAAGGUUUUCGGAUUGUAAACUCCUUUUAUCAGGGACGAUAAUGACGGUACCUGAAGAAAAAGCUCCGGCUAACUACGUGCCAGCAGCCGCGGUAAUACGUAGGGAGCGAGCGUUGUCCGGAUUUAUUGGGUUUAAAGGGUGCGUAGGCGGAAUGCCAAGUCAGCGGUAAAAUCGCGGUGCUCAACCUCGCACCGCCGUUGAAACUGGCGUUCUUGAGUGGGCGAGAAGA